CUGGUUUGCCUCCCAGCUCUGCUAGCCGGGCUUUAGUAGUGCGCUUUCUCGCGGCUGUCAUAAGUACCACGCUGUUGACUGGGACACCGAUCUCCAAUUCUGUCCUUGAGGCAAUAAAGAUGUGGCGAAGGCCCGAGGUGAGGCCACUGCCACUGCACUUAGUCCUGCGACUCCCCUAAGGACGGGCCGAGGAAUGGCGGGCUAGCCACUUCCCAGUCCUGUCCCUACGGGGCAGAAAAAGGCUCGGCAUCCCGGGAUCCGGAGGGUCACUUCCCUCGCUGCAUCCCCAUUGUGCAACUGCCAGUCUAAAAAUUGAUAUAGGUUAAUCUCCUGGAGAAACUAGAGGCAGCCAGGGAGGAUGCUGUUGAACCAGUUAGGAGGCUGUUGCAAGAGAUCCCAGGAAAAGAUAAUGAUAAUGUGGACUUGGAAGAUGGCAGAGGAGUUGCAGAAAAGUAUCCAGAUUUUAAAGGCCAUGGAAGAGCCAGCAUGUGGGGAAACUUCUUUAUUCUGCUAUCCAAAUAUAAAAUAUAUACAGAAGUAGCUCCUUUGUCCCUUAACCUUAGUAAGCAAAUUUGAUUAAGCAUUUGAACGCUAUAGAGGUGCAAGGUGGGAGAAAUUCUGCCUCUGCUACUUGGCAGCUCUAUGAUAUUGGGCAAGCCAUUCAUACCACAUUUAUAUUCCUUAUAUCCAAAAUGGACAUAAUAAUACCUUCUUACUUAUCUCACUGGGUUAUUAGAAUGAUCAUAGUGUUUAGGUGGUUGGUUGUUUCAAGGAGGUAAUAAUGUAUGUGAAAAUAAUUGGUAUAUGGAAAAGCAUUAAAUAAUAGUGCUGAAACAUUAUACAUAUUAACAUGCCUUUAAAUCUGUCUCCCUACCAUUCCAUCAUUUAUUUUGGGGGUCAGUUUUACUGAGAUAUAAUUAAUGUAUUAAUAUAAGUGUACAGCUUAAUGAGUUUUGACAAAUGUAUACAGAUAUAUGACUACUACCACAAUCAUGAUAUAGAAUAUAUCAAUGGCUCCCCAAAUUUCCUCAUGCCCCUUUGCAUUUUUAUACUUUAAAAGUCAAUAUAUACCCAAGAGUGGUUAAAACAUACCUUCCCAAAAACUUGUGCGUAAAUAUUCUUAGUAGCAUUAUGUAUGAUAGCCCCAAAGUGGAAACAACCCAAAUAGCCAUCAACUGAUAAAUGGAUAAAUAAAAUAUAUAUUCAUGCAGUGGAAUAUAAUUCAGCCACGAAAGGAAUGAAGUACCAAUGUCUGCUACAACAUGGAUGAACCUUGAAAACACUAUGUUAAGUAAAAGAAGCCAGUCACAAAAGACCACACAUUGUAUGACUCCAUUUUUAUGAAAGGUCUGGAAUAGGCAAAUCUAUAGAGACAGAAAGUAGUGUUUGCCUCACAUUGGGGGCUAGGGAAUAAUGAUGAAUGACUGCUAAUGGAUGUGGAAUUUCUUUUGGGGGUAAUGAAAAUGUUCUAAAAUUGAUUGUGGUGAUGGUUGCAAAACUCUGUGAAUAUAAUAAAACCAUUGAGUUAAUACCA
rnacentral:lncRNA from 1 species